UAUGUGAUCGUCUCUCGCAUAUCAAUAAGCGGAGGAAAAGAAACUAACAAGGAUUCCCUUAGUAACGGCGAGUGAAGCGGGAAGAGCUCAAAUUUGAAAUCUUCAAGGUUUUACCUUGACGAAUUGUAGUUUAAAGAAGUGUUUUCUGCUGAAGUUUUGGUAAAAGUUCCUUGGAAUAGGACAUCAUAGAGGGUGAGAAUCCCGUAUUUGACCAUUAUUUUCAGCUUUGUGAUACACUUUCAAAGAGUCGGAAUUGUUUGGGAAUGCAGUCCAAAAUGGGUGGUAAAUUUUCAUCUAAAGCUAAAUAUUGGCGAGAGACCGAUAGCGAACAAGUACCGUGAGGGAAAGAUGAAAAGAACUUUGAAAAGAGAGUUAAACAGUACGUGAAAUUGUCAAAAGGGAAGCGUUUGACACCAGUGUUGUUUUCUCGAAAAUCAAUUAAAAAUGGCUCGAUUUUGUAUUGCUGAGACCUUAAAAGCUCACUGUACAUUUUUCGUGUCUUUUUUAAUGCACUUUUCGUUUAACAAGUCAACAUCAGUUUCUUUUGUUGUAAAAGGGUCAUUGGAAGGUGGCUUUCUUUUCGGAGAAAGUGUUUAUAGCCUUUGGCCUCUGCAAUCGAAGAGACUGAGGUCUGCAGCGUAGACUCUUCGGGGUUAGAUACAUUUGUGCUAAGUUAUAGCUUUUUAUAGACAACUUGUUGACUAUAAUUAGUCUUGUAGCUUACUCGCUUAUGCUAUUUUACCUACGCUUAGGAUGUUGACGAUCAGCUGAGCGCG
rnacentral:rRNA from 1 species